GGAGGCUCCUUCCCUGACUCCAGCCAAAGGUUCCCUGUCCCCAACAGGCCUUCAGAUGCUCUGGGUUUCAGGAACUGGCUGCAGAACCGCCGUUUGUUAGUGAUGCCCACCUUGACCCUUGACAGGACUCUCACAAGGUGACUCCGGUCUGGACACCCCCAUGCUAUGGAAUUGAAUUACACAAGAUUGGUUUUGAAUUUGCAAGUUCCUAUUUGCAGUAGAAGAAAUCAAAAGCAUUAUUAGCACAGAGAUUUUCUUAUUCAAGAGAAGCACUGUACAAGAUGAUAAGUGCCACCAUGAUUUGACUUACUUGGAUAGAAUUAGCAGCCCUAAUUGCAGGUCGAAUCUUGGUAAGAACAUUGGAUGAAAUGAGGAUCUGAAAAUCUCCUCUGUCCCUGUGUACAGUGAGUCUGCCAAGGGGAGCAGCUCUUUGCACAUCUUUGCACAUGUGAGUUUGAACUCCUGCAGGAUCACACCCCUCACCGCACCGGCAGGAUGGAGGGAAACCUCACCUCCUCAGAUCUCCUCUUCAGAUGUAUCCUCAACUGCACCAAUGGCCAAGGAGUCUGAGCCUCACUUUGUUGUCGAGCCCCUUCUUCUAUGUUGUUUCUUAGUUGUCAGAUGUCUAUGAAUCACUAAACCAGAUGCCCACUUGGAGAAAACAAAGCAGCAGUACGAGUUCUGAAACUGAUCCACCUCUUCUGCUGGUCAGAUUCUUUGUGAAUUAAAUCACAUACAGAUUGAACUUGAAUGCCCUCUACACCUUUGACCAGUGAUAUUAGACUCCUCAGACCAUUUUUGGAUUUUUGUUUUUAAGAUGUGCUUAUUUAUUUGAGAGAGAGUGUGUGUGUGUGUAUACACAU